GUGAUGAAUUUUCCGCAAUGGGCGAAAGCCUGACGGAGCAAUGCCGCGUGGAGGAUGAAGGCCUAUGGGUUGUAAACUUCUUUUCUCAGAAAAGAAUUAUGACGGUAUCUGAGGAAUAAGCAUCGGCUAACUCUGUGCCAGCAGCCGCGGUAAGACAGAGGAUGCAAGCGUUAUCCGGAAUGAUUGGGCGUAAAGCGUCUGUAGGUUGUUUAAAAAGUAUUCUGUCAAAGAUUAGGGCUUAACCCUAGAUAGGCAGAAUAAACUUUUAAGCUAGAGGUUGGUAGAGGCAGAGGGAAUUCCCGGUGGAGCGGUGAAAUGCGUAGAUAUCGGGAGGAACACCAAAGGCGAAGGCACUCUGCUGGGCCAAGACUAACACUGAGAGACGAAAGCGAGGGGAGCAAAUGGGAUUAGAAACCCCAGUAGUCC
rnacentral:rRNA from 1 species